rnacentral:rRNA from 1 species
AGCGAACGUUUGCGGCGGGCCUAACACAUGCAAGUCGAACGGGCUACUUCGGUAGUCAGUGGCGCACGGGUGCGUAACACGUGGGUAAUCAACCCUCUAGACUGGGAUAACCCGGGGAAACUCGAGCUAAUACCAGAUGUGUCGCCCUGAUCCUCGGAUCGGGUCGAGAAAAGGUCGCAAGGCCUGUUAGAGGACGAGCCCGCGGCCCAUCAGCUUGUUGGUGAGGUAAUGGCUCACCAGGGCUAAGACGGGUAGCUGGUCUGAGAGGAUGGCCAGCCACACUGGAACUGAGACACGGUCCAGACUCCUACGGGAGGCAGCAGUGGGGAAUAUUGCGCAAUGGGCGAAAGCCUGACGCAGCCACGCCGCGUGAGCGAUGAAGGCCUGGGUCGUAAAGCUCUGUGGGGGAGAAGAAUAAAGUACGGUGAAGAGCGACCCUGACGGUAUCCCUUUAGCAAGCACCGGCUAACUCCGUGCCAGCAGCCGCGGUAAAGUGACUAC